rnacentral:lncRNA from 1 species
GGGGAUCUAGAGUAAAGAGAUCUAGAUUAAGAUCUAAGAUAUUAAAACAGUGUAUGACCUAGUAAAAAUUAGGCUUUAAAAUCAAUGAGUUAACAGAGGAAUAAUAAUGAAAGGAACUUCCCUAAACUAGGUCAAAGAAGGCAGAGAAUACACGUUUGAUUAGUUUAGAUCUUGUCAAAACUUGAAGUAAAUUUCCCAAUUAAACAAAUAAAAUUACUCAAAGCAUAUCAAAUUAAAAGAAGAGAAUAUACCAUUGGGUCAGCUGCAUGAUUGCUAAAUCCAAUUCUCCAUGAACAAUUUCCCCAUUGUUGUGGUUUUUUUAAGGCUUAAUGAACUUGUGCAACUUGAUCCUGUUGGAUCCUCGUGUUCUUAACGUUUGAAGUUCAAACCUGAGUCCAUGCAAAAUUACCAACUUUUUUUAGCACCAAAGGGGAUAAGGAAUGUAUAAUAAUGAACAGUCACAUCUAAAAUUGAUAACAUAAAAUUAAAAGGAGUGUAUACUUCUAUGAUUGAAAAAGAACAAAUCCUUGUAAAAAAACAAUGGGAAAAAAAAGCAUCUUCCAUAUAUACUUGUCUAAAACUACGACUCGAUAAAUGCUUCUAGAUUUUAUGAAUCAAUGCAAUCAAUCAUAUUAAUAUACUAUCAUUUCCCAAGUCUUUAAGCCAUGACUUUAACCAUAACGAUAAUUACAACUCGGUGAUUUCACUGCAACUUAAGAAUUGGCAAUAAUACGCUUAGAUUCGGUUUAAGCUUUCAUCAAUCCACUUGGUUAGGUUAGGUUUGAAAAUGAGCUCUCAGGCACUUUACAUGCAUUUAUCAUAUAAAACAAUCGGAGUGGUUGAGUUUGAGACCAAGUGGAUACUCAAGACAUGGAAUCAGUAAUACAACACCGCAGAUUGACCACUUCUCACCUAAACAUCUAUUCAUUGGCCAUGCUACUCCAUCAAAGCUUUAAUUAUAUCAUUCUUCAGAAGAGGUUUCACAUCACAAGCAUUGAUGUAUGGAUAUAUAUAUAUAUAGACUUAGCCAAAAGCCCAAAAAAACCAAAUAAGGAAAUAGAAAAUUAUUUCAUUGCAGACCUAGUGAUAAUAAAAGAAAGAUGAAAGAACAAAGCAAACCCAUCUGUCUUUUGUGAUUUAAUUAAUUGUUUAUUAUUACAUCAGUGCUUAUGAUUGUCUCUAUUCUCAAUAUGUUAUUACUCCUAGGGUUGUCCGGCCAUCGUAUUUGAUCCUUGUACACUGCUCCUGGAUGAAAUUUAAUUAAGCUUAGAAAAUAGUCCCCCACCCCACUAUAGACCUAGGAUUUGAAUUUGAACAUAUCAGCAUUUAACAUGAGAAUAGGUAAAUAAACUUAAGUUCACACACCAUUUGUAUUUAUCCAAAUGUAAAUUGGAUUUGUAUAACCUGUAAAGCCUUCUUCUUUGCUUGCAAGUUAAAUAGUAAUAAUCAAAUAAAACAUUCUAGAAAGAUUAAAGUUCAAUAUUGUAUUAUUAGCUUCCAUCUUAAUCCAUGUUUACCGCUACAUCAGCUGACCAAACCAUCAUCGAAGAAAAUUUUGUCUUUUACUUCAUAACCCUUUAACGUAAUCAUUAAAAUAGUUGUUUUAUGAAACUUUGUCAAAUAUUUUUAUGCAAAGGAGAACCUUUUUUAGAACCAACCAAGAAAUGCAAGCAACAAGAAAGCAACAAAGGAGAUACAAACAUAAAUUAUUCUAAUAAUAAUAUAGAACUUAGCAAAUUAGAUUACCUCAAGCACUAGCCGUCCGAUCCUCUAUUUGACCCACUUUUUCAAGGAAUCAGAUGGUGAAAUAUUCAACCUGGUACAAAUCCCUUUUGCACAGUGAAAAAACAAAAGUUUGUAGCUUCCUUGAACCUUCAUCCAUCGUCGAAGCCCCGUUGAAAAGUUUGACAAGUCUUCAAAUUCAACCUUCCUUAUGCGUUAUAAAUACCUUUCCACUCUCCCCUUCUACUCUCAGGCAAAAAACCUGAAAAUCUUUUCUUAAUUUAAACUCGCAACAACAAUCCUUUGUUUCUUUCCUUUUUCUGUUCUCUGAUUUUUCUCUAACUUUUUUCAAUUUGUUG